rnacentral:rRNA from 1 species
GUUAAGUAGACCGCCUGGGGAGUACGGUCGCAAGAUUAAAACUCAAAUGAAUUGACGGGGGCCCGCACAAGCGGUGGAGCAUGUGGUUUAAUUCGAUGCAACGCGAAGAACCUUACCUACUCUUGACAUCCAGAGAAYUUUCCAGAGAUGGAUUGGUGCCUUCGGGAACUCUGAGACAGGUGCUGCAUGGCUGUCGUCAGCUCGUGUUGUGAAAUGUUGGGUUAAGUCCCGCAACGAGCGCAACCCUUAUCCUUGUUUGCCAGCGAGUAAUGUCGGGAACUCCAGGGAGACUGCCGGUGAUAAACCGGAGGAAGGUGGGGACGACGUCAAGUCAUCAUGGCCCUUACGAGUAGGGCUACACACGUGCUACAAUGGCGCAUACAGAGGGCGGCCAACUUGCGAAAGUGAGCGAAUCCCAAAAAGUGCGUCGUAGUCCGGAUUGGAGUCUGCAACUCGACUCCAUGAAGUCGGAAUCGCUAGUAAUCGUGGAUCAGAAUGCCACGGUGAAUACGUUCCCGGGCCUUGUACACACCGCCCGUCACACCAUGGGAGUGGGCUGCAAAAGAAGUAGGUAG